rnacentral:lncRNA from 1 species
GGCCUGUCCCCUCAUCCAAUCCAGCUCCAUCCACCAACGACUGGUGACCCAGUUGGUCUCCUCAUCCCCAGGGCAGUGUCCUCACACUCCGGACACUAGUUCCACCGGAGCACUCCCCAACUUUGUCCUCAGGUCGCUGGACAAAACUGGCCCGUGCUCUUCAGCUAAGGGCUGCAGGUGUCCAGAUCCUGGCCUGGCUGCUCCCCAUGUCCAGCACCCUCCCAGACCCCAGCCUCAGGCUGCACCCCAGGCCUCUCAUUCCCCCUCCCUCCCCUGAUCUCAUCCUGUGCAGACCAUCUCCUGGGCCCCUGAUGACAUUCCCUGGUGGCAUGUGAUUGUCACCACCGUCCUGCCUGAGGCUCUCUUCCUCCCCCACUGGUCCUUUCCUCCACUGGCCAAAGUCAUCUGGGAAAAGAUGACCAACUGCCACCUCGUCAUUUUCCAACUUGAAGCCACCUGUUCUCCCAGCUCCACCCUCAGCGCAUGUUCUAGUUGAGGUAACAGAGCUGGGUACGAGGAGUAUGUCUGAUAGGUGACUCCAGGAAGCUCACACAAGAAUGACAAGGGGUUGUCCACAGAGAGACUCCCACUUGGAGUUCUGCAGGAAGCAAAGGACAAUCAAUGCCUCGAGGACAGCUGGGCUCUUGUUUCUGUUAGUAAGUGAGGAGCUAGAAUGCACUGUGUCCGUGAAUGAAUGCUGACUUGACCUGUAUCAGUCACAAUAUUAGUGAGAGAGACAACAUGUGUUUGUGUGUGUGUGUGUGUGUGUAAAGUAUAAAGGAAAUUAUCAAAAAGCAAAUUUGGCAGGGAUUUCUGGAAUGUGGGAUGAUUCUAUUUCUGUACAUUUUGUAAAAUAAUGCACAAAGGAAACAUUU